rnacentral:tRNA from 1 species
GGCCUCGUAGCUCAGUCGGCUAGAGCAUUGGCUGUACUAUAACCUUCCUCUUGCUGGCUUGUGUUCGAAUCCCACCGAGGCUG